rnacentral:rRNA from 1 species
AGAUAAGUGCUGAAAGCAUCUAAGUACGAAGCUCUCCACAAGAUUAGAUAUCCUCAUAAGGGUGGUUAUAGACGAUGACCUUGAUAGGCUACAGGUGUAAAGGCGGUGACGUCAUAGCCGAGUAGUACUAAUUGCCCGAAAGUUUUUGC